UACGUAGGGUGCGAGCGUUAAUCGGAAUUACUGGGCGUAAAGCGUGCGCAGGCGGUUUGGUAAGCCAGAUGUGAAAGCCCCGGGCUCAACCUGGGAACUGCGUUUGGUACUGGCAAGCUAGAGUCCGGCAGAGGGGGGUGGAAUUCCACGUGUAGCAGUGAAAUGCGUAGAGAUGUGGAGGAACACCGAUGGCGAAGGCAGCCCCCUGGGCCGAUACUGACGCUCAGGCACGAAAGCGUGGGGAGCAAACAGG
rnacentral:rRNA from 1 species